rnacentral:lncRNA from 1 species
AGUGUUUUCUCAGACAGCACCUGGCCAGAUGGCAGGACACACGGGGGAACCACUGUUGGGCUGAGAGCCUCCCUGAUAGGGACCAAAAGGAAUCUCUAAAGGAGCAAUGCGGCUCAGCACACGGACCAGGAAGCAGAGAGAAGGUCAGAACAGAAAAGGCGGUGUCUGCUGGAGACGAAAAGGGGUCCAGACCCUGUGAGGAAACUUGAUAAAAAAAGAAAAAAAAAGUAAUGAAAAUCCAAGAAGACCUUUUCUGGCCAUCCUUGUGUUUAAACAUAGCAUUCCAUGUUGGAAAGAAGGUAACACUUUCUGGUUCUGGACCGUGGCUCAUACCCACAGCUGAUGUCUACUCCAACAUCAUGGCAGAGAAUACCACACUGUGGCUAAUGCCACGGACAUUCCAGGAAGCCUUGGAUAAGUGAGGGGAGAAGUGUUCUAUGCUGGAAAAAGUCUCCACCCCACAGCAAACCUCGAUGUGGGGGAGAGCCGACUAGGUGGGCAGGUGCUGUGCCUUUCCAGAAGCUCAUUUCUGAAUGGUUGGCAUCCCUGAGAUGUGCUUUCCAGAGCCCAGCAACAGAGCCCAGCAGGCUGGAGCAAGAGAUCAGGCUCGCAUGCAAAGAAGCAAGGAGCACUGUCAGCCAGAAGGAUUCUCUCUCUAUAUAUAGAUAUAGAUAGAUAUUGUGGUCAAGCUCAGAGUCAGCUAUGAGGGGAUUUCUCAGCCCUGCAUCUGGGGGUCAUUUAAUAUCCAGCUCACCGCGCCACGCCCCUCCCCCCAGGUUUUCUUAUGCCUGUGUUGUCCUUCAAUGGAUCUGGCUGCAUUCUCUGCUCCUCCAGGUCUCAGUGAGAAGCAGGCACAGGAACUCUCUCGUGAACUCAUUUGCUCUCCCGGUUCCCUCUGCACCUGCUGCCUCUAAGGGCCCGGUGAAUCCAGCCGUUUCCACAGCAAACAGUCAUAAACAGCCAGAAGCGACCCAGCACUCAGCACUUCCGGUGCAGAAGCAGGGUGGGGAGUCGCUGCUUUGGCAGAGCCCAUUUCCAUACAGAUGUUUUCAGCCAUAAAACCGGAGGCUUGAAGAGCAAGAAGUGGGUCGGGUUGCAAAUGACAAGGCCUGCGAAGGACAUUAGGCUGAAGUUCAGACCGUGAUUCAGAGCUUCCUCAGGGCUAACCUGCACCUCACAGCCGGUCAGCUGGGGGCCAGAGGUUUGGGAAAGUGGGAAGUAGCUGAAGGAGCUGAAACCAAAGAGGCCCACCCUGGUUGUGCAAACACAGACCCCCCCCACACACACACACCUUUACCAAACAUACCUACUGUGGUAUCAGUCCACUGCCUUCAGUUCUUUUUCUUUCUUUCUUUCUUUUUUUUUAAUAAUUGACAGAAAUAAUUUUUUUAAAAGAUUUAUUUAUUGGUUAUAUGUAAGUACACUGUAGCUGUCUUCAGACACUCCAGAAGAGGGAGUCAGAUCUCGUUACAGAUGGUUGUGAGCCACCAUGUGGUUGCUGGGAUUUGAACUCCAGACCUUCAGAAGAGCAGUCGGUGCUCUUACCCACUGAGCCAUCUCACCAGCCCAAGUUCUUUUUCUUUCCAAACAUGCUUGUGACUGAACAAGUUUACUGGGACAGAGCAGAGAGAAGACAUUUCUAAUGAAGUGUGACUAUCUAGUCAGUGGUGACCUUAUAGCUUGGGGUUGUCUGAUAUCAGUGAGACAAUGCGAUGCAACGUCGUCUUUGUUAGGGUUUCUAUUGCUGCAACAAAUCCCCAUGAUCAAAAUCCAAGUUUGGCUUUCAUUUUGCUCAGGUUUGGGGCAGACAGGGUUUAUUUGGUUUACACUCUCAUAUUGCUGAUCAUCAUUGAAGGAAGUCAAGGCAGGAACCCAAACAGGGUAAGAACCUGGAGGCAGGAGCUGAUGCAGAGGCCAUGGAGGGGUCCUGCUUACUGGCCUGCUUAGCUAGUUUUCUAAUAGAACGUAGGACCCAGGGAUGGCAUCACCUAUGAUGGGUUGAGCCUUUUCCCAUCAACCACUAAGAAAAUGCCCUACAGGCCCGCCUAUAAUGGGAUUUGAUAGAAGCAUUUUUCUCAAUUGUGGUUCUCUCUUUGCAGGUAACUCUAGUUUGUGUUGACACAAGGCUAGCCAACACGAGUAUAUGUGUCAGUUCAUACAUGGUUCCUUAGAGCCUGUGAUGGUUAAUCUUCACCAUCAACUUGACUGGAUUUAGAAUCAACAUGGAAACACAUCCCUGUGUCUAUCAGGGUAUUUCUAGAAGGGGCUAGCUGAAGAAUGUGCAAUACAGUUUCAUGAGCUGGGGUACAGAUUGGAUGAAAAGGAGAAUGUCAGUUGAGCAUCAGCGGUCAUCUCUCUUUGCUUGCUCACAGAAACAAUGUAGCAAUGUGACGAGUCAAACAAUGUAGCAAGGUGACAAGUCUCCACAUAUUUCAGUUGCUGUGACUUCCCUGUGUGACAGAUUGUAUCUCUGUGAACUGUAAAUCUUGUCUUGAGAUGGUUAGCUUUUAUUGUCACCUUGAGGCAACUAGAAUUAGCUAGGAAGAAAGUUUUAGUAAGUUACCUUAAUCAAGUUGGCCUAUGGCUAUGUCUUUUGGGAAGUGUCUUGUCCAUUUUGGGUGACAUCCUUCCCUGGGGGUUUGGAGUCCUAAAUUAUACAAGAUAAGAAAAAGCUAGAUAAGAGAAAGUAGGCAGCAAGAUGGAUUCAUUUCUCUCUGCUGUUGACUGUGGAUAUGAUGUCACUCACUGCUGCAGUGCCUGCCUUGAUGUUCCCUUAAUAAACCCUUUCCUUUCC